rnacentral:rRNA from 1 species
CCGGUACCCAGUUCGGACUGCAGGCUGCAACCCGCCUGCACGAAGCCGGAGUUGCUAGUAAUCGCGAAUCAGAAUGUCGCGGUGAAUGCGUCCCCGGGUCUUGUACACACCGCCCGUCACACCAUGGAAGUUGGGGGUGCCCAAAGCCGGCAAGCAAAUAUGCUGUCUAAGGCAAAACCAAUGACUGGGGUGAAGUCGUAACAAGGUACC